GCAGGCUUCGUAUAGAGGCCAUUACCUCUGCCUUCCAAGCAGAUGAGAGGGGUUCGAUUCCCCUAGCCUGCUCCA
rnacentral:tRNA from 1 species